AUGAUCUGGAGACAAAACCAGGAAAUGGAAACUCACUAAGCUGUUUGUUUUUGCGACCUACUGUACAUAUCGAUUUACAAAAACGACUUAAAGUAGAAGAAAAAAAGGAAAUAAGGCGUGACAGAAAGGGUUUUUUAACGGUUUGUUUAAACAAAUAAAAAACAUAAUAAAUAACAUUCAUAGUAACAUACAGUUUUUAGGCUUUUCUAGUUAUUAAAAAACUUAUCUAAAGGUGUUUAUUGGUGAGACAGUAUAUAAAAAACGGACAAUACACACUGACACGCUCACACAUACACUCGCGCGCGCGCACACACACACACACACACACACACACACACACUAAACAGACAGUUAUUAAAUUUGUAUUGGAAGCAGGUAAAAUGGGCAAGCAUAAGGAUCUGAGUGACUUGGACAAGGGCCAAAUUGUGAUGUCUAGACGACUGGCUCAGAGGAUCUCUGAAACUGGUCUUGUGGGAUUUUCCAAAUGGGGAGAACAAUGCUGUUCUAUAUCCACACUGUGAUACGGCAAUCUUCAUGAUGCUCUCAUUAGUUCUCCGACAGAAUGUAGUGAAGAUAAAUCACCAGACUAUGCUGGACUUGGACCCUUGCAACAGGAAUCUGGCACUCACCAUAAGAGUUGAUGAUGACAUUAUAUGUAUUUGUCCUUGUGUGGUGUGGUGGAUCCAGAGCGUAUCUGGCCAUGGAUGUGGCAGUCAAUCCCAAUUUACACACACACACACACACACACACACACACACACACACACACACACACACACACACACUGAGAAGCUAUGUUUGUGUUUCCAAAUCUAAUACACACACACACACACACAACUGCAAAUGGCUAUUCUAUGAUAAGGACAUUUUUGAACAAUCUGGAAUAUACAAAUAUCCUAUUAUAGUGAUAAAGUGCAAUGUAAUGCAAAUUACAAAGCAUGAUCAAGCUGCCAUUUUAAGUAUUCAAGGCAACGGCUGCCAAGUUUAUUUCCAAAAGCUGUUUGAUUACACUGGCAGUAAUCAAGGGCCAAUUCAUAUCCAAUUUGCCAUAAAAAUCCUUUAUGAUUUCAAAGAAUACCCACAACAGCUGUGUACCAAAUGUCUCUUCGAUGGACAGCAGGUGACAAAAGCAUAAAUGGAAAUGGAGAAAUGAGUUUAAUGUUGUGGUUAAGAACAUAACUGUUUUUUUCCAGGAGACAUUUACUAGAUAACAUUAUGCAAUUAAUUAAUUGACUACGAAACUAUUUUAUAGCUUUUUGAGCAGUGCACCAGAAGACAUUAUAUUUUAGUUCUGAUUUUUCAUGUAAGAUCAUUAAGCAUUUGUAUAUGGGAAUGUUUACGUGCGAAGGAAUAAGCAUACUUCCAUUUCGGUACUAAAAUAAAUCUUCAUGCUAUAGUCUUUUUUUAGAUAGCAUGCACCCAGUGUCCUAAUUCCAUUGGCUGGCAGCAUCAGUGAUGUGUGAAUGUGAAGUGCCAAUCAUGCACAAUCGUGCCAAUCAUAGUGUUCACAUAGCAGUCUGUUUCCUUAUGUAGGCACAGCGGCACUCUCUGUUUUAAGCAAACUGAGACAGUCGAAACAUUUAGACCUGACCUCAUUCCUUCUCUGGUGUAUAUAUGAUCUUGUAUAUAGGAUAUACUGAAGUUAUAUUACUUGGGAAAAUGUAAAUGAGUAGUUUAGAGUAGUGUUUGAUCUAUAAGUGUUAUGUCGAAAAAAGGAGAGAGGUUAAGCAAAAUUAGCAAACUCUAAUGCUAUGUUAGUUCGAUUCAAAUUGAGGCUAAAUGAUCUCUUAAUUACACAGGCAGACAGUGACCCAGCAGCGGUGAAUGACAAUGAAGACGAAUGGGCACAAAUGGGGUUUAAUGAUGCACUUUCUGUUUACAAAGGUCCCCUGAGGCAUUAAUCAAUUAUCCCAUGCUAACACUCACACUCUCUCUGUGUGUCUCUUCCUCUCUCUCUCUCUCUCUCUCUCUCUCUCUCUCUCUCUCUCUCUCUCUCUCUCUCUCACUCUCUCUCUGUCUCCUCUCUCUGUAUGAAAUUCAAAGCGACAACCCCUUCUCAUUUUGCUAAACUUCUGGACUAUAAAGCCUAAGUAACUGUAUUCACUUCAGUGAGCCCUGACCUCAGCUCUUAGCACUUAAUAUAUAAUAAAUGCCCUCUCCCACCCACUAGGAGUUAUUACAUACAGAGCAAAGCCAUUAAUAUGAAUAGACCUUAAAUAUGUCCGAUGCAAUUACAUUAUUUACUCAACCCAGAGAGGCUUAAAGCACAACUCCAAGAGAGCUCUGUCCCUUAAUGCACAUUCAUAUGCAUACAAGCAUUUCAAUUCCUCCUCAUUCAUCUUCACUAUCUAAAAUGAGACUGCUGAUUCACUUGGAGGGAGGAACACAAUAUAAUUCAAUUCAUUACCCAGUCAUUCUAGUUUAACAAACAGCUCAUAUCAUAAAGAAUGGAAGGAAAACCUGAUGUGGACAAUAGUCAUGUCACAAAACAUUUCAGUCAACAUCAUUGCUUUUUUUAUACCACAGAGCUGUUAAAUUCUCAAAUCCGAUUGGUCAGAUGGUUGUUUUGACAUCAGCUCUGAUGGAUAUGAUACAAUUCACAGGGUUUUACGUUCUUGUUAUAAGAUAUUCAUGUUGUUAUAGUAACAGCUUAUUCACAGGGACUUGUAUGGCAACUGAUCCAUAUAAUAAAACAAAUCCAAUACAAA